rnacentral:rRNA from 1 species
AGUGGAUGGGGAGCAACCUAGUUGUGCGUGUGUAAAGGUAGUGCCAAGAAAAGCGAUGAUCAUGUUGAAAAUCAAUUCCCGGUACCCGAAACCGACACAGGUGGGCAAGUAGAGAAUACUAAGGGGCGCGAGGUAACUCUCUCCAAGGAACUCGGCAAGAUGACCCCGUAACUUAGGGAGAAGGGGUGCCACCGAGAGGUGGUCGCAGUGAAGAGGCCCAGGCGACUGUUUAGCAAAAACAUAGGUCUCUGCAAACUCGAAAGAGGAGGUAUAGGGGCUGACGCCUGCCCAGUGCCGGAAGGUUAAAGAAGUUGGUCAGUUUUAGGAUGAAGCUAGCGACUGAAGCCCCGGUGAACGGCGGCCGUAACUAUAACGGUCCUAAGGUAGCGAAAUUCCUUGUCGGGUAAGUUCCGACCCGCACGAAAGGCGUAACGAUCUGGGCGCUGUCUCGGAGAGAGGCUCGGCGAAAUAGGAUUGUCUGUGAAGAUACGGACUACCUGCAUUUGGACAGAAAGACCCUAUGAAGCUUUACUAUAGCUUGGAAUUGUGUUCGGGCUUCCUGUGCGCAGGAUAGGUGGGAGGCGUAGAAGGUAUUCUUGUGGGGAUACUGGAGCCAACGGUGAGAUACCACUCUCAGGAGGCUAGAAUUCUAACUUAAUUAAGGACAGUUUCAGGUGGGUAGUUUGACUGGGGCGGUCGCCUCCAAAAAGGUAACGGAGGCGUACAAAGGUUCCCUCAGACUGGUUGGAAAUCAGUCGAAGAGUGCAAAGGCAGAAGGGAGCUUGACUGCGAGAAGUACAGUUCGAGCAGGGUGGAAACACGGUCUUAGUGAUCCGACGGUGCUGUGUGGAAGGGCCGUCGCUCAACGGAUAAAAGUUACUCUAGGAUAACAGGCUGAUCUCCCCCAAGAGUUCACAUCGACGGGGAGGUUUGGCACCUCGAUGUCGGCUCAUCGCAACCUGGGGCGGAAGUACGUCCCAAGGGUUGGGCUGUUCGCCCAUUAAAGCGGUACGUGAGCUGGGUUCAGAACGUCGUGAGACAGUUCGGUCCAUAUCCGAUGUAGGCGUGAGAAUAUUGAGAGGAGCCUUCCUUAGUACGAGAGGACCGGGAAGGACGCACCGCUGGUGUACCUGUUAUGAUGCCAAUUGUAAACGCAGGGUAGCCAAGUGCGGAGAGGAUAACCGCUGAAAGCAUCUAAGUGGGAAGCCCACCUCAAGAUGAGUAUUCUGGUGUAAGGUCACGGGAAGACGACCCGUAAAUAGGCACGAGGUGGAAGUGCAGAGAUGUAUGAAGCCGAAGUGUACUAAUAGACCGUCGGCUUGAUC